CCUCCGCCUCGCCCGAUGCGUCGUGCGCGCGUCGCAGCGGCGAAAGCUUGAGGCCCGCGCCUGCGUUCGUGCGUGCGUGCGCAGGCAGGCGGUAGGUGUGGCGUGGCGGGGGCGCUCGCUGGGUUGGGAUCGGCGUUAGGGGUGGGCGGCAGGGUGGGAGGGGAGGGGCGGGCGGCUACGUCUGGCUCCGCGCCCACCCGCCGCACCGGGAGCUGCCGGCGCCGCGGCAGAGCCGGAGGGGGGCGGUCCUCGUCGUCGUCGCGGUGUAGCCGUGGCGGCGCGUGGAGCGGCGGCCCCCGAAGCGGCCGCAGCAGUCGUUCUGGACGUGGCGCGGGGAGCGGGCGGAGUGGUAGGAGAAGGUCCACCGUCCAUACGUAAGUCUACGACGUCGAGAUUCCUUCACAUCAUAUACCGUGCUCCGAAGCGCCUAACAAGCUCUUCUUCCUAAACCCCGUAAAACCUUUCCGUUAGAACAGUGGUAACAUGUAGCUAAUGGAAUAAGGCGGUACUCGAAGAUAAGAAUACUUGCUAUGUUUUUCGAAGAGCCUUACCACGGACCGGACCUACUGGGUUUAAUACAAUCACAGCAUGCAAAUGAACCACCACCAGAUCGCCCUCACUGUCGACGUAGACAUUGAAUGGGCAACCUACAACAAGCUUGAGCAAACCGUUGUGUCUUUUGGUGGUCCAUAAUGUUCCCGUAGAAAGUAUGCAACAGGUGUUAAACAUCUCUUCUCUCACCCUCUCCUAACAUAUUUCCGGAACCCCGGUGCAAUAACCAUUCGGUGUACGAAGAUGACUCUUACCAAAAACUCAACUGAACGGUCAUUGAAAAUGCUCAAUGUCCCUCAACCUGGCCCAUAUCGUUAGUCGAAAAUACAUAUACUUAGGAACUCCAGAGUAACCGUUUACCUUUCCGGCUUACUAAGGUUACGGCAACACUCGAACAAAAGACCCUCAGAUAGACCAUAACGUCGCAGCUGUCGAUGUAAAGGAGAACUAGAACAUUUCGCUGCAUACGUUGAUGUACCCCGCCGACCCCGUAGUGUUUAGCUUUUUAGUUCGUAUUGACCUUGGUAGGCGGUUUAGGAAGUUUUCCUUCCAGGAGCACCGAAGAUGGCUCCGUAUCAGGGCCUCAUGGACUUCCAACAAGGAUCGCAACCUUAGCGGAAGUACUGGAUACUCCAUAACUUUUCGUACGAGAGGUCGUAACUACCCCUACUACUCUUGAUUCCAGCGUUUCGUCAACGCAACGGAAAAAAAAACGGCGGGAUCCAAUGAUAGCAUUCUGGUCACAUACUCUCACUAAUGUUGUACGGAACGGUCCGUCAAAACAUCCACAACCAUCCUAUUUCGUUCGAAAUGGACUCCAAUACAACAUGGUAUAUCCGAUUAAUUUCUCGUUUGUUAACUUAGACAAAAGGACACUCACAAUACGAGACUAAGCAGCACCUUACAUUACGGUAAACGUUCCUCUUUUGAGGUUUCCAAAUUACCUAAGACACAUUAAAGUUGACGCCGUAAUACAAAAGCACCUCGUUUACACCGACGUCAACAUAUUUCUCCAU
rnacentral:rRNA from 1 species